rnacentral:rRNA from 1 species
ACUCCUGCGGGAGGCAGCAGUGGGGAAUUUUGGACAAUGGGCGAAAGCCUGAUCCAGCAAUGCCGCGUGAGUGAAGAAGGCCUUCGGGUUGUAAAGCUCUUUUGUCAGGGAAGAAACGGUGAAAGCUAAUAUCUUUUGCUAAUGACGGUACCUGAAGAAUAAGCACCGGCUAACUACGUGCCAGCAGCCGCGGUAAUACGUAGGGUGCAAGCGUUAAUCGGAAUUACUGGGCGUAAAGCGUGCGCAGGCGGUUUUUUAAGUCUGAUGUGAAAUCCCCGGGCUCAACCUGGGAAUUGCAUUGGAGACUGCAAGGCUAGAAUCUGGCAGAGGGGGGUAGAAUUCCACGUGUAGCAGUGAAAUGCGUAGAUAUGUGGAGGAACACCGAUGGCGAAGGCAGCCCCCUGGGUCAAGAUUGACGCUCAUGCACGAAAGCGUGGGGAGCAAACAGGAUUAGAAACCCUGGUAGUCCCAUGA